AGUUCCUGAGAAAGUAACAGAAAAAAUUGGAGACUUCAAAAGUAGAGCAGUUCAGAAGAUGAUCAUGUCAAAAGAUGUGGUUAUCGUAAUGGUGGCUGUGUGAUUAAGGAAUUUGAUCUUCAGGAGGUUAACAAAAAAGAGAAACUGGUGUAAUGGCUGCAAUGUCCAGGUGAACUCAGAAAUUACCUGGAGGAUGACAGGAGGUGUCAUAAAGACAAAUGCUGAAAUAGUUUAAAAUAUUCAAUGCAUGAAGAGAAAACUUUGAGAACUUGGUAAAAUUAGGACCAAAGAUAAAGGAAGGAAAAGGUUAUGUAACUUUUUGAUAUGAGGCUCUAAGGAGCAGGUUUUCUCUUGUGGAUGAAGUAGUAAUGACAUCAGGCAACAUGGACAGAAUUACAACAGUUAGACCAUUCACUGACCUAGAAAGAAUGUCUUAGCUGAGACACUUCUUAGUAAGAUUUUCUAAUCCAAAAUCUAACUUUUUUUUGACUCUACAUGGUUAAAACUUCCACUCGGACGAACUCAAUCACCUAAUUAUUCCUGGUAACUUCUAUGUCUUUAACUUAGCUUUAAAACUGAUAUAAUUAUAUAAGUUAUUUUUAAUUAGAAAGAUUGUAUUGAAAAAAGAGUUCAGCAUAUUUCAUAUUUCAUAAAAUUUGCAUUUUUGUAUUUUUAUAAAAUUCAUAUUUUUAAUGUUUGUGUUUGGUUUGGGUUAGCUCAUUUUAAGGAGCUAUCACUUUAAUAAUCUACUUUGAGCUCGCUAUCCAUGUAGAAUACUUCAAUUUCAUUGUUGCUUUUAUUUAUUGCUUUGGGUACACUUACAUUAAUAAUGGGGAUCUGUGUUAUAACAAGAGACAGGACAAAUGCAACUUAUUAAAUACUGUUGUAUUUCUAAACUUUCUUUUGCUUUUGUCUCUCAAGGAGUUUCCCAAAUUCAACUUUGGAAAACUGAUUACCUAAUAUAGAGAUAACUUUAUCUACUAAAGAAAAGAUUCUACCCAUGGCUCCAUUUGUUCCCGAGUCACUGGUGACUGGCAGAGGUACAGGCUUGUGGUCUGUGAAUACACUUUCUACCAAGUAUAUUUCUUUUCUUAUUAGUGACAGAAAUUCUGUUGCACACAAUUUUUGAGAACAAAUUACUUUCACCUACUUUCAUAAUCUGGUGAAGCAUGUACUCCCACUUCUUGAUCUUAGCAUAACAUUGAAUGGGCCCCCUACUCUGGGCCUGGCUGCUGAAUCUGAACUGAUGCUCAGAUUCCAAAGCACCAAAAAAUUAUAUUAAUAGUUGCAUCUGAAGUAUCAUCAGUGGCACAUUCUCCAGGUCUAGCCUUUAACUCUUGAGCCAACUCCUAGGUAAUUCCCUGAAUUAAUAUUAAGAGUAUCCAAAACACAUGUUGAACAUCCAAUCUCUCAAAUAUAUAUUUUUUAUAGAUCGCACUUAAUUCUCUCUUGCAAAUUGUAUUCAAUCACAAAGGCACAGCUCUUUAGCUUUUGUCCUUUAUUAGUAUAUCUUCCCUGGAAAAAUGUAUCCUGUACAAAUUUGUGAUCUUCUACCCGCUAUAACUUAAAAAGAUUUCUGCAUUUUCUCCAUGGUAAUCACAUUUUCUGUAUGUCCUUUUAUUAGCAUUUUCAACCUAUUUCUUUGUGCAUAUUAAACAUACAGGUAAGUCAAAAGUCAGAAAUAAGCACCAAGACAGGAAAUGCAAUGUAGAUGAAAGAAAAAAAUGAUGUAAGACACUACAUGUCCCUACAUGAAAGCCAAUGCUAUUUGUUUGAAUUAGAUAGAGUUAGGUACUUUUGCUCAGGAUCAUAGUUCGGAAGUUUGAGGAUCUUUACAGUUUUAGACGCAAGCUUCACUGAAAUAAAACUGGAUACACAGAUAUAUAUUUCAGCCUUUUAGUCUGGGCAAUGAAAAGUAGAUGGUGCACAAUGAGUCUCUAUGCCAAAUAUCUUUCUUCUCUUGACUUUUUGCUGAUGUGUUGCAAGCAUUUGUGAUUCUUUAUGUGUAUGUAUGUGCAUUCAUGUACAUAAACUUGUCUGCUAGUUAUUACCCUGAAAUCUAAAAAUUUAUAUCGUAUUUUUGCUCAGAAUUAUGAGAAUAAUAUGUCUUGACACAAACAAAUGGAAAAACAUUCCAUGCUCAUGGAUUGGAAAAAAUCAAUAUUGCUAAAAUGGUUAUACUGCCCAAAGGAAUCUAGUUUCAAUACUAUUCCUGUCGAACUACCAAUGUCAUUUUUCACAGAAUUAGAAAAAACUUUUCAAAAAUUUAUAUGGAACCUAAAAUGAGCCUGAAUAGCUAAAGCAAUCUUAACCAAAAAGAACAAAGUCUGAGGUAUUACAUUACCUGACUUCAAACUAUACUAUAAGGCUUUAGUAAACAAGACAGCAUGGUCCUGGUACUAAAACAGACACAUAGAUCAAUGGAACCCAGAACAGAGAACUCACAAAUAAAGCCACACACCUACAACCAUCUCAUCUUUAACAAAAUUGACAAAAAUAAACAAUGGGGAAAGAACAUCUUGCUGAAUAAAUGGUGCUGGAAUAACUGGCUAGCUGUAUGCAGAAGAAUGAAACUGGACCCUUAACAUUGACCACAUACAAAAAUUAACCCAAGAUGUAUUAAGGAUAUAAAUGUAACUCCUCAAACUAUAAAAAAUUCUAGAAAAAAAUGUAGAAAAUACCCUUCUUGACAUCAGCUUUUGCAAAGAAUUUAUGUCUAAGUCCUCAAAAGCAAUUGCAACAAAAACAAAAAUUGAUGAGUAGGACCACUACCUCGGUGACUAGACCAUUCCUACCCCAAACUUUGGCGUCAUGCAAUAUAUCCAUGUCGUAAACCUGAACAUGUACCACCUGGAUCUAAAAUAAAAGUUGAAAUUUUAAACAGACAUCUUUAUUGUAGAUCAUUUGCAAAUAUAAAACCCAAAGAAAGAGAAAUAGAAUUCUAAUACUCAGGGAUAAGGUUGUUAAAAUAUUUGUGUAUAAAUUUGGCAAUAAGAAGGAUCUUUUAAGACUGUUUUUCACUAUUUUAUUAUCUUUAGUAAUACCAUUAAGUAUUUGCUCCUGUCAUUAACUUUUUUUUUCUAAACUGUUUUGUUAUGUACUUUGUAUACUAUAUAUGAUGGAUCAUAUGUCUUUCUUUUCUUUUUCCUUCUCUAUUAAGAUAUUCUGGUACCAGAAGGUACAAUUGAAGACUCCAAGUAGGAUAGGUUAUACAAAACUCCAUGUCUAGUUUCCUUUAUGUAAUUCCCAUACUGUACAAAACUACAUGUCUAGUUUCCUUUAUAUAAUCCCAUACUACCUACCACAAGUUAUUCAAUAUCAUCCAAAAUUGUUUUAAUGAUUAUGAUACUCUUACUUGUAUUCUUUCUAACACAAUGAAAAUGAGAUCCUCAAUUCCGCUCAAACAAAAUGUGUCUAAUUAUCUUUGCAAACUUCAUGUUAGUGUUGAAAAACUAAAUUUCUCCAAGACAUUUUAAGGUCAAAGUUAUCAAUUUUAAAGUUACAACUUUUAUUGAGACUUUGACGUUCAUUUCUUUCAAUGAACUGAAUUUUUUCAAAAUUACUGAAAAUAUGGCAAUAAUUAAUAACGUUGUAAUGAAAUUUGUAAUUUUUGAAAUCUCCCCAAUUGCUUUUUUCUGGCAAGUGUGACUUCCAUGAUAAGAAGCAAAAUAUUGUGAAAGACCAGUGUGGCAGCCGUGGCUGUGCAGCGCUCAGGAUUGCCCGUAAUAAAGAACCUGCUGUGAGGACUUAGUGGACAGCGUCCAGCUGCCACAUCUUUAGGAUCCACUGCAGCAUUCAUAAAGGCCCUACUAUAACUGAAUCUCUAUCAGUUAAUGACACAGCACUGUAGUGAAGCUAGUGUCCAGGUUUCGUUGGCCAACUCAGCACCCAACUAAUGCUCAACUUUUGCUCUGGGGCUCCCUAUUGGCUUGGCCAAGAAUCUUCUAGAGUUGUACAGCAGUCUGGGGCUCCUGUUAUUUAAGCUGUUUCUGUCUUCCCAAUCUUCCAUCAUAGGUGUUAGACCUGCAUCCUGGUCUGAAAGCCUUCCCUGCUUUCCUGUUCACUCAGCUUUAUCUUUCACAGAAAAUUCCCCCAAUGAAUUACUUGUGUUUCUUAUUCUGUCUUGGUAUCUGCUUCUAGAGGACCCAAACUGAUACAGUUUUUAUGAACCUAAAUGGUUGUUCAUGAUUACAGUAGUCUAUUUGUUGAGGUGUAUGGCCAAUACUAUUUAAUACAUUGUAUUUAUUAUUUUGUAUUCAUUCAAAAACAAUUGUUUCUGAGUAUAUAAAGCAAACAUUAAGAAGAAAUUAUCAUGAUUCAAAGAAUGACAAAAAUUAACUUUAUCUCAUUAAUAGACCUCACCAUAACAGUCAGUGAGAAAUUCCUUCCAACUGCUAAAAAAUGUUUUAAGCAGAUGUUUCUUGCAUUGUAACUUAGAAACUACCAAUUUCAGGCUCCUGGAUAAUGAACAGGAAACAUGUUACACGCCUGAGGGCUAAGCAUCAAGAAUUCUGGUCACCACUGCAGUUGCCAAACUCUGAGAAGAGACAUUAGGAAAUCCCAUUCACUGUACUCUCAAAAUACUAUUAAUUCCAAUGGUUUUGUGGUCAAGGAACUCCCAUUUCCUGUUGACAAUUUGGGGAGGCUGUAAAGAUCUGGCAACAUAAAAUGAGUUCUGUAUGUAACCAAAUUACUGCCAUUUCAGUUCUUUGUAGGGUAAGAAUACACUUCAAAUGCAUCCCCAUUAAGACACGUUUUAAAAUAUGUAAAGUCCAUCAGGAAUAGUUUUAUUCAUAAAUGUGAAAUAUAUUUCAUUCAUUACAUUUAAAAAGAAGAGACAAUCUACAUGUAGUAAACAGAGACAAGGAAUUAGAAUCAGGAGAAACAUAUUAACUCUUUAUAAUAACUCUUAUCAAAGAGAAGGAUAAACCAAGAGAUGCUGAACAGACAUGGUGCUUCAAAAAUCUGUUUUCAAACUAUUGGUAGGGGAGCAGCAAAACCACUCUCUGGAAAACAAAAGGCAAGCUUGUUUACACUUGACAUCUUCCUUUCCAUUUUAUCGAAGUCCAAAGAUGCUCAGUCAAUUACUUGCCAUGCUCAAGUCAAUCCUGCUUAGGUAUUGAUCCCUGUUGCUCACUAAAUGAAAGCUUAUAAUUGAAGCAAACUUUGUCCCUCAGUUAUGAAGCUGUUGCUUUGUCCCUUUAUUGUUUAUAUGUCCCUCCUGACCAUGUCAUCUCCACUGUACCUUGUUGCAUAAGAUAUUGCAGGAGAGAUUGGGAUAGAUAAUCUCCACUGCGUCUCCAUGGAACAUACACAUUUUCCAUAAUAACACAGUACAUUACAAAUGUUUGCUAUGAAUCUGUCAUCAGAGGCAGUGAUAUCCUUAAGAACAGGCAACUGUAUUCAAUUCAGUGUGGGUCCCCAAUGCCUUGCCUGGUUCCUGAUCAGCACUUGAUAAAUGGUUGCUGCAAUUAAGAAUCACCAAAUACCACUUUUGAACCAGAUGGCCUAGAUAGUAAGCUCUCUUUUCUAGAGAAUGUAUUUCCAGCAAGUAAUAUAGUCUAAUUAAGUAAGUUGUAUUAUAAUCAUGUUUUGAGAUGUGCUUUCCAGCUCUAGGUCUGCAUUUGACCUACUAUAUUAACUUACUUAUUGACUGUAACAGUGAGAGUCUUGCUGGUGCAAUAGUGAGGGUGCUCUUGUGAGUACCUGACAGUAAAUCAAACAGCAGAGUUCUGAAUGUUUAUGAGCUGACAGUAGUUUGGUGGCAUAUGCCUACACUGAGUAAAUGCAGAGUAAUUUAUUUAAAAAUAAGCUUUGAGAAAGAGUUGUUCAAUAUUACUUUUCACCUUUCUUAUAAUCUCAAAGUAGAUUCUUAUUUUUUUCAUUCUGAAAUUUCUUAGGAAAUAUAUUUCAAAUUAAGUGUUACAUUACUUUGUAGAAGAAAUUACCUUUGUUUCAUGUGGUUAAUAUCUAUGAAGCCCAAAAUGUGAACAAAGAGCCUCAGAUAUCUGGAAAAAUGACUUCCUUUCAAAGUUUUGAACUAUAGUACUUUAAUGUUUCAAGUUGAUAAAUUAUGAGACAACUACUUCUUUCAAUAUUUAUAUUAAAAUCUUAUAGCUGUCACCAUGGAACAAAAAGACCCUUUAAGUAAUAUUUUUUCAAGAAGUCAGUGCCUAAGUUUGAUGUUCACUUUCUUGCAAAGAUAAUAGCUUUUGCUAAUUUACAAACCAUUUUCAGUAGACUAUCUCCUGUCUAAAAAACUUCAAUUUAUUAGAUAUUUUCAUUCAAUUUCUGUGUCAAAUUAUUGCAUGGAAAUAAAAAUAUUUUAAAAACCAAAAUUAUCAUGAUCUACUUAUUUUCUCCAUAUAUCUAAUUUAUAAAUUAUAUGUUUAUAAAUUUGCAUUUUGUAGUUCUCAUGAUAAACCUAUAAGAUAAAUAUUAUUAUUUCUAUUUUAAUGUUGGAAAACUGAUACUUAGAUAUUUAAGUGACUUGAACAUCUUACAGGUUGUAAAUAACAAAAUUGAGAUUGAUUUUAUUAUUUUAUUUUUUUCAAAAGUGAAUGACCUCAACCCCUCUUGCUUAAUAAUUUGUGGUAUAGUGUAAAACAUAUGGACUAUGAACAGAAAAGUUUGAAGUUGGAUCAGUAAGAAUUGAACAUUGAGUAAAAGUUUUAAAAUACCUUUAAUUGUUCAAAGACCAAAGAUGGAUUUUUGAAAAACAACAUCAACUUAAUACAAUGUACAUUUACUGUUAGAUGUAGAAGGACAUGCAGAUUAUCACUGAUAAACUAAUAUUCUGCUAAUUUCUUUUUUGUUCAAUUUUUUUUACAACUGUCUGUCCCCGAUAGCUUUUGUUAAAACUAUGUGGCAAUCCUAGUUGAUCUGAACUGAAAUAGAAAAGGUUCAUGAGAAAAUAAAAAGCUAGACCAACUAAAACACAGACUGAAAUGAAAACAAGAUCUUUUAGGAGAACGGUCAAAAAACAAUGAAUUGGUCCAAAAUGUAGAUAAAGGAAAGUUCAUUAAAAAAAAAAACUGAUCAAUAAUGCAAAAGUUUGAUGAAAACAAUUAAAAUGUAUUACUCUCAUGGUAGUAAAUAUGAAUUAAAUAUAAAAAUUUGGGGACCUUUAUAGUGAAAGUUUGUUUCUUAAAUUGUUAAGCACAAUGAUUUAUAUAUUUAAACACUUUAAAUUAAUCCAGUAUUAUUAUUAAUUUUAGCAAUAUAGGAUUUGUUUUCUGCUCCAACCCAAUCUGGAAGUAUCUUUUUCUGCAAAAAUAGAGGUGUUACAAACACUCCUCAUCAAUACAAUUUAGACAGAACCCAGAGAUGGUUUAGCAAGUUUCAGGGAGUCCAUCUACAGCUACAGAGAGAAAACAUAAUUUCCCACCAUAAAAAGUAGCAGCGAGCAUAGUGCAGGGUGUUUUAGAUAGAAGGAAAAAACCUCCUGGCAAUAUAAUUGAUAAAAAUUAUGUACUUAAAGUAACUUUUGAACAGUUGCAAAAGCAAAUACUGAAUAUCUUUUGUAAAGAGUAUAUGUGAUCUGAAACCAAGAAGACAAAUCCCAGCUACUGCUGCCCUGGGAGAAGAGCUGUAUGAGGCACACAGAAGAGAAUGAACAUCACCCACAUGCCUUUCAUAUAUUUAUAACUUCCCAUUUCAUGGUCAAAACCAAAAACAUCUUGACAGUAGCUACUGGAGUGGGUAACUUGACUUGGUGGGUUUCCCCGAGUCUGAAACUUUAUGUCAAUAGUUUGAUGGCAGAGAUACAUGGUAGUGUCUCCUUUAUAACCAAAGGGACUUGUUAAAUAGAUGCAAUAAAAGCUUACAGAAAUACAUAAGGCAUUAUUAAGUCAUGCAUUUCUUAUACGUAAAAACUUCUGAUCUUUCUUAUUGUUUAUUUUAGAAACUUCAUGCAAAUGGGAAGAAAUUGGGCUGAAUGCAUUCACAUAGUAUAAGAUACUAUUUAAAGAGAGAGGAUAGGCAAACAUGAAACUGAACUUUUCAUAACAAAGAAAAAGAUAAAAGAAAAUAGUUACCCUUUGUUUAGUCUCUGUUAGAGAACAAAUACUCAUAAUUAAACUGUAACUGGAAUCAAAAUGUAGUUUGGGAUAAACAACCUAACUGGCCUCCAAGAUAAAUUACAGUACUCAUUUCUCUAUUGUUGGUUUGUUUUCUCCAGUUUCACCAGGAAGCAGGACUGUGGGGAUUCUGUACUUGUAUGUCACCACUAAGCAGCUUCUUUCAUGCCAACAAGCUUAGUAACUUGUUUGAGUCUGGCCACUUGCACACCAUCUGGAACUACUUCACAUUCUUAUUACAAAAAAGAGAAAGAGAAAAAAAGAAUACAUGAUGCUGCUGUGUUGCCUUUCAUUUGUAGAGUUUGCUGGGCAUCUUCCUGACUCAGGUGUUCAUUCCUCCUGGAGUCACCCAACCAACCAUAAUAUAGCUGACAUUAGGUUCAACCACAGAAUUAGUCCCUAGAAAUAUGUGAGUUCUGAAUCUUGUGACAUUCCUCUAGAUUUCCAAGAAAAAAAUGUAGUUUUAUUUUUAAACAUUUAAUUUUCAGUCUUUUGUGGGUUUCAAUUUGUAUUCCUCAAUUUGCUGUAAUUCUUAUGAAGAUAUAACCAAUUUGUGAGGAAAUCUGACCAAGGAAGUUUGUUCUAAAGGAGAAACAGCUUACAUGGUAUGUGUUUUGGCUUAUAGUUUGCCAUGGGUUGGGAUGGAGUAUAGGUAGGGUGGGGGUGAGAUAGGGAGAGGGUGAACAAUGUGUCCAUAGAGAGCUGAAGCUCUAUUUUAAUCAGGGAUACCCCUUUCACCAAAAUGUUUGUCGGUGCUCUACUAGUUAUUCGUUUCUUAGGAUAAACUAAAAUGAAGAAACUAAUAAAAAAGGUUCUUAGGUUAAAGCUUCAUCUGUUUAGAAUUUGUGGAAAACAUAUCUAUUCAUGACUUUAUAAAAUGCAAAAGUUUUAAUACACACUUAACAUUUUGAUCUAUAACUAACAUUGAAUAGUUUAAUACAGAAAAAGAAAACUUUUGAUUAUAUAGUGCUUAUAGUGUAAAGAAACCUCCAAGUACUCUCUUUGAAAAUUAUUAACCUUAACUCUCCUGCCAGAUUUUAUGAUUGUUUCAUUUUCAUACCGUUGCAAAGAAAAGAAGAGACCUUCUUUCUUGUUGACCUCCCUAGAGUAGGGGGUCAGUAAUUAAGGCGCACGUGCCAAACAGGACCCAAGGACUUAUUUUCAUUGGCAUUCAUGCUAGUAGACUCCUCUUGAGAGAAUAAUCACCAGCUGCAUUUUGCAACAUGUGAGAAUGUGUGGGUGGAAUAACCACUUCCCCACUUAUCUUUUGCUAGUCUCAAUAUCACUAUGCCCCACCUGGCUCACGAGAAGAACAGGUGCUACAAGCUAGGCUCACCACUUGUUUAAAGGAUGUUAACCCCCAGCUGGGCCCACAGCCCGGUACUUGGUCGAUUAUCAGAAUAUGGGAGGUGUUGUAAAGUGAGAAAAAUAAAACCAGUAUUUAUUGAGCAGUUUAUACCUGUGAGACAGUCUUUAUAAUCUUCAGAGAAGUUAAAGAACUUUUCCAGGAUGACAGAGUCACAACAAGUUUGGGUGAUUUGAACCUAUAGCUUCUAAUUCCAAAGUCUAUUAUAAUUUCACUACAUAUAUUUCCAUGUCUUCCUAGAAGAAAACAGCUAUUAUUUUUCAGAGGAAAUAUCUUAAACUGUUAUCCUCAGAAAGCAGUGUUCCAAAGGCUGAUAAUUUGUCAUAAAAGAAGUGUGUUGUGAUAAACUGUUUCGAGAUCUGUGAGUUAAAAUUCAAUCUCUCCCCACAUAGACUUCUUGGAGCCUUUAGUAUGUAAAAAUGCAUUGAGAAUCUUUGAGAGAGAUCAGGAUGGCUAACUUAUUUUCAUGUGAUGCAUCUGUUAAUACCUCCUUGAGUCUGUGUGCUACUGAAUGGCAUGGGAACUGCUUUGAAAUGUCUAGGAAGUCCAUUCCACUUAUCAUGGGUGAAAAAUGACUUUGUGCAUUUGGAUAAUAAUUAUAAAUGAUAUUAAAAUAAUCAUUUGUGAUAUGAAAAAAUAGAAUAGAGAAAGAUUAUUUAUCUAUGCACUAUAAAACUUAUUAGUUGAGUUUGAGGUGACCUAUUUAUUUGAUAUUUGAAUGUGACAUCUUUAUUUUCUCAACAAAAUUUUAAUUGGCAAUGUGUUCUCAUGGCAACAAAACUUAUCACAAUUCCAAACAAAGAAUGAAUGUGUAAGGACUAAAGAAAGCUUUUUGUGAAUACUGUUCUACUUGCAGGAAACUGUUAAUUUAUUAUUAAAAGACAAUUUUUAGUGCCUACAAUAAGCCAUCCAUGGUAGUAGAUGUAGGGAAGAACUUAACAUGGCCUUUGAGGGCCUCAUUGCCUAAAUGGAGAAACAAGUUUACUACAACAAAUAAAACAAGCUCCUUUUGAGAGAAAGUAUCAGCCUAUGUUCCCAAACUAGCCCAUAUCAGCUGCCUAUAUUACAUAGCCAAUUCAAUGGUAACAUUAUUCUUGUGGCCUGCUGAGGAUUCAAUAGAAGUCAAAAUUUGUCAUGAGUUUUCUGUGUUUGAGGCAAAAAAUAUUCCUCACUCCCAGUGUUCUUGAUCAUUAAUGAUCUUUGUAAAAAUUUUGAUCAGCCAGCUAUUGGUUUGUAGGCUUUUUGUACCCCACCCUGAAAGGUAUAGGUGCUCCUUCAUCUAUCCCUGGGACCUGGGUGUGGAUGAGGAGCCCAGCCUGUUGUACCUGAUAGCUGGCUGCAGACUCCUCAGAGAUCUUUGCUUAGGAACACUGGAUCCAACUUCUGUUUUCUUAUAUUCUACUCUUCCCUCUGCUCCCUCAUGAAUUUGAUUUUGUGGAUACCCAGUGCCUUACUUGGUAAUAAUACCAAAUACCCCUAAUUUUUCUACUAUAUUCUUUCUUACAUGUCCAUUGCAUGCUUUGUUUAUGGCAGGGUAACCUGUACCAACACCCAGCUUACAGACACAAACCUAUACACAGAGAACUAGGGAGGACUGAAAAAACCCUUAAGAAGAAAACCUUAACUCUGUCUGGAAGGUCAAGAAAAUAUCAAUGAGACCGUUUAAGCAGUCUUGGGAAAUGAAUGAGAAUUGUGAUAGGUAACACUGAGGGUGGUAGUUGGAAAGAAGACAUUCUAGACUGAAUGAACACCUUAUGUAAAAACACACAGUGAGAGUGGUGAAGAGCAAAACUGUUAUAUGACUAGAACAUAGAAUGUUAAGGUAGGAUGUGGUUGAACAUGCCAAAAAGUGUGCAUAAACACAUGGACAUUAAAUAUCAAAAAGAUUUUAUAUAGAAGUAACAAAUCAUAUAUAAAUCUUAGUAAUUUUACUCUGGCAUUGACUUAGAGGGUACAAAUUGAAGGUAGGUAUGCCCUUAUUUGAGAAAUUAUGUGAGUCUGAACUUAACAGUUGAACCAAGAUUGUACUACAAACAUUAUGAUGUAAACAUUAGAAAACAGGAUUUUUUUUUUUUGCUUUGAUCAAAAUUGUAUAUUCAGCACCCAGAAGAGUACUUGGCACAUAAAUUGAAUGACUGGAUAGCCAGGAGAGUACUCAUUAUUUAGCUGGCCAUCCAUCCAUCCAUCCAUCCACCCACCCAUCUAUUCAUUUAUAUGUCCAUUUGUUCGUCAAUCUCUCAAACACUAAACACUUGCAUUGUGCAUAUCCUAGGCCUUGAAAGAAUGCAUAAAGUAGGGAUAAAAUGUGGAAAAGGACAUAAACUUAGAAAUAUGAAUGUUUAACAGUGGGAUGAAGAAAAGGAUCACUGAAAGAGGCUGUAAAAAAGCAGAAAGGGAGGAGAUGAAACUAACAGUUUGUUAAAGUGAGAGCUAAAGUUAUACAAGAUUUCAUGAAGGACAAGGUAAUUGCCAGUAUUUUGGUGCUUAGAUCAGGUAAUGAUACUAACUGAUGGUCAUUGUCCCUCGGAUUUCUUCUAUUUUUUAUUGAGAUAUAAUUUACAAUCAAUAGAAAGAACAGACUCUAAGAGUAUGUAGUUCAAUGAAAUUUGGCAAGUAUAUACAAUUGUGUUACAUACUUAUCAAAAUAUGAAAUACUUCUGUCUUUCUCCAAAGUUCUUUCAUGUUCCUUUCCAGUCAAUUCCUCCCACACAAAGCUGAGCAGUGCUCAGAUUUUUUUCACCAUGAUUGCUUUUGUCAUUUCCUGUCUCCUAUCCUAUCACAUGCGUAUUGGACCCUUGACACUGUGCCCUAACUCACUGUUUCAGUGGUUUCCUCUGUGUGCUUUAGACAGUUUUAUUAGCUGAUCUUAUACAAUAUCCACUCUGCUGUUAAGCCCAUGCAUUUGAGAUGUUUACUACAAUUAUAUUAUUUUUCAGUUUUAAAAUUUCUACUUGUUGUUUUCUUUUCCUAGUUUGUAUUUCUCUGUUGAGAUUUCCCAUCAUUUCACAUAUUAUCUGUUUUUUAAAAAUCCUUGAAUAUAUUUAUAUUAACUUUUUUUUUUUUUUUUUUUUUUUUUGAGACAGAGUCUCACUCUUUCACCCAGGCUGGAGUGCAGUGGUGCAGUCUUGGCUCACUGCUAGCUCCGCUUCCUGGGUUCACGCCAUUCUCCUGCCUCAGCCUCCUGAGUAGCUAGGACUACAAGCACCUGCCACCACACCCGGCUAAUUUUUUGUAUUUUUAGUAGAGAUGGGGUUUCACCGUGUUAGCCAGGAUGGUCUCGAUCCCCUGACCCUGUGAUCCGCCCGCCUUGGUCUCUCAAAGUGUUGGGAUUACAGGCGUGAGCCACCGCACCCGGCCUAUAAUAACUAUUUUAAAGUCACUGUGUGCUUAUUCCAAUAUCUGGGUUAUGCAUGGGUUUGUUUUUAUUCACUCAAAUUCUCCUGGCUAUGAGUUACAUUGUAAAAUUAUUCUUUGUAUAUCUAGUAAAUUUUUAUUGAAUUUUGCAUAUUGUGGAUACUAUAUUUUUUACAGUAUAAAUUAUAAUGUCUUCUUUUAAAAUGUUGAGAUUUGCUCUAGCAGGCAGUCAAUUUGCUGGCAGCUCAACUUGAUCCUGUUGAGGCUUACUUUCAGGCUUUGUUACAAUUGGUCUAUAUCCCUUACUUUAGGGGUAGACUUGACCUACCAUUAAGGACUUUCUAGGAUCUCAAUAGAAUAAUUGGGUUUUUCGGUGAGUAGUCUCACUCCAACCUGUUUAGCACUAAGUACUCUCUGCAAUUCAUCUCACAGUCCCUCAGUAAGUGGUUUCUCAAGCCUUGUGUAUAUAUAGCACAUUAUUUGGCCAAUGUCUGAAGGGGACCCUUUUGCCAAUGCCUGAGGUGCCUUCUCUAUGUUGCUCUCUGCUAUCUAGUACUCUACAAAUUCUGGCAACUUCGGUAUUCCCGAACUCCCAUCGCCCUUUUUUUUUUUUUUUUUUUUUUUUGUCUGCCUGGAAAGACCACUGCUUUCUGUUUGGACUCUAGUUCCAUGUGCUGAAAUGUGAAAAAUAUCCCCAGGCUGAAUUCUGGGGUGAAUGUAAAGCAAAUUAGGGGUGUUUCCCUUUUAUUAUGGCUAUCAUUAAAAAGUCAAAAAAUAACAGAUGCUGGUGGGGUUGUGGAGAAAAAGAACACUUAUCCACUGCUUGUGGGAAUGUAAACUAGUUCAACCAUUGUGGAAGACAGUGCAGCAAUUCCUCAAAGACCUAAAGACAGAAAUACCAUUCGACCCAUUAAUCCCAUGCACAUGUAUGUUCAUUGCAGCACUAUUCACAAUAGCAAAGACAUGGAAUCAACCCAAAUGCCCAUCGAUGAUAGACUGGAUAAAGAAAAUGUGGUACAUAUACACCAUGGAAUACUAUGAAGCCAUAAAAAAUAACGCAAUCAUGUCCUUUGGAGAGACAUGGAUAGAGCUGGAGGCAAUUAUCCUUAGCAAAUUAACACAGGAACAGAAAACCAAAUACCGCAUGUUUUCACUUAUAAGUGGGAACUAAAUGAUGAGAACACAUGGACACAUGGGGAACAACAUACACUGGGACCUAUCAGAGGGUGGAGGGUGGGAGGAGGGAGUGGAUCAGGAAAAAUAACUAAUGGAUACUAGCCUUAAUACCUGGGUGAUGAAAUAAUCUGUACAACCAACCCCAUGACACAAGUUUACCUAUGUUACAAGCCUGCACAUCCUGCACAUGUACUCCUGAAUUUAAAAGUUAAAAAAAAUCAAUUCCCUGGUAUUGUCUGUUGUACAAUGUCUCAAAUCAGCUGAUUUUUACAUUUUGUCUAGAUACACAAAUGCCUAUGGUGGGAAGAUUAUUCCCAUAUCCAAUAAUCUGUCCUAGCCAAGACCAGAAGUCCUGUCCAUUGGUUUCUGUACUUGGAAUGUUUUUGGUGACCCGAAUAGUUUCAGCAUCAUGGAAUGGCAAAUGUCUGCUCUUCACCUUACUUCCUGACUUUAUUUUUUCCUUACCCCAGGUCUCUGUAGUCUCUGAGAACCUUAUGUAGAUUUAUUGUACUUAAAUCUUAUAAAACACAGUACUUAUUUAUUAGCUCUGUUUUUACAUAGCUGUUGAUGUUAUUUGCAUUAAUUAAUAUAUGAUCCAUAUUAGCAUAUAUUUCUCUAAGUCACAACUUUUUGGCUAACCAGAUAGCAUUUUUGGGUUACCUAGAGCAAAGGCAGAUAAGAAACAAAUAAAUAUGUCGGUGAUGGAUAGAGUCAGCCAAUGCUAAAUCUGAAAUUUGGGUCAUUUUCAUGGUCAUCAAAUCAUUGCUUACAUUUUUUUUUUUUCACUUGCAGAUCAUUUGGGGGUUUUCAUGUGAACAAUCUGUAUUCACCAGUUGUUUUAGAGUCACACACACAUAGCUUUAAGUUAUGCAUAACAGUGCACCCUGCCAAAUGACUACACAGCUGGAGGGUUCACUGGGGGUAGCAGCUGGGUGAGGAUCCUCAAAAGAUGGGUAUGUACUGAAGGAGUUCCCUCCUGCUUUUGUACCCAGAAGGCUCACUAUUAACAUCCUGAAAACACAAAGAAGAGAUUAGAAUUUAUUGUUCAUUUUCCCCCCAUGGGGAAGCCAUGUAUGUUUAUGCCCUAAAGAUUGCACAUUUGAAAGAAUAAGCCACUUUCAUUGUGGAAUUAACCAAAUUGACUAUCUUCCCAGUUUGAAUUCACUGUAUAACUGUUAACCCACUUCACAUUGUGCUUUAAAGUCUCAGCCAAAGGAUUCUAAAGGCCUGAAUUUCCAGGUUUUCUCAUCUGUAAUACAAAUACCAGUUAAAGACAUAAUAUCAUUUUAUGCUUCUCUCAAAGGGCAUGUAGCAAAGCUGGCUAGCACUACUGCAACAUUUUAAUUACUGGUGCUUACCACAAUUUGCAAUAAUUACAGUUCAUUUUGUAAGCUGGUUCUUAAUUGCAGACACUGCUAAAGUAACAAUUGAAUAAAAAAUAAAGUGCACUUUCAUGUGUGUGUGUGUGUAUAUGUAUGUAUACAUAAAAUAUGACUGAGAAAGAUGUGAGCUUAUAAAGAAAUAAAAGAGGUUAGUGUCUUCUACUAGACCAAUUAUGAAAACAGAGAUAUUAAAAACAAUUUUUCAACCAAAGACUUAAAACUAAAUUUAAUCAUCAGGACAAGUUAUUCCAUCCUUUAUGGUAUUUUUUCUUUAGCAUAAUUCCUAAAUUCUAUGCUUCUUUAUAUUAAAGAAAGCUCAGUGAGUGAAAUCUAGUAUGGAUAUAUGUAAACUCUCAACAAACUUCUAUUCAUUAUCAGGUGGCAGGUCUCAAAGAUAGAGAUAACUCCUAUAUAAAAAGAAUUUUGCUCUAAAAAGAAAAAAAAUUCUGGAAAACUCUGUUCUUGUUCAUGUUUCACCUUAGUAAACACCAUUUUACCCUAUAUCAAUUUAGAUAAUGUGAGGGAUAAGAACGUUUGGAGGGUGAAGAAGUGAAGGAGAUCCUAAGAAAAGCUAAACUGAAGUGGAGGGAAUGUUCAACAAGAGGGUACACACUCUUGAUAAGAAAGCACCUUUGGUUCUAAUUUGUUGAAAUGAACAUGAAGAUGGUAGCUCUCUUUCAAAAAAUUGACUGUUCCCCUCACAAGUAUUAUAAUUGUAUUAACAUGAUGGAUCUUUAGCAAAUUAAUAAUGUUUAAUCUCCAGUAUUCUUGAAGAGAACAUUUUAAGUCAAAGAAAUAAAACAAAACAAACAAGAUAGCACCCUAUUCCCCCUGAAAAGAGAUCCUCUAAGUAGGUGGUUUUGAUUAGAGCUAGCAGUAAUUUCAAAAGUGAUACAUCUCUUAAAAUGAAAAAGAAAUUUCCCCAGAUUAAAGCAACACUGUGAUCCUUUUAAAAAAGAGGACAUGUUGGCCCUUAGAAAGAAAAGAGUGCUCUAUUCACAGUUUGAAUGUCUUGGCCCUUCAUAGAGUAUUAAUAGUAUGAAUGAGGGAGGGUGACCCAGUGAUAAGGAGUAAGGCUGUGAAAUCUUAACCACACUUUGCAGCUGUUUGAUCAUGGAUCUCACAUGAGAUGGCAAAGAGGUCAAGACAAAAAUUCUGCAUUUGGGAAAAGAAUAACACAUGGACUUCCUCCUACAGGUUCAUAUGUGGAAGGGACUUGCCUUGUACCAGAUAAGACUUUGGACUGUGGGCUUUUGAGUAAAUGCUGAAAUGAGUUAAGACUUUGAGAGAUUGCUGAGAAGGCAUGAUUGGUUUUGAAAUGUGAGGACAUGAGAUAUGGGAGGAACCAGGGGAUGAAUAAUAUGGUUUGGCUGUGUUCCCACCCAAAUCUCAUCUUGAAAUGUAGCUCCCAUAAGCCCCACGUGUUGUAGAAGGGACCCAGGCGGAGGCUGGAGUGCAGUGGUGGGAUCUCACCUCACUGCCACUUCCACCUGCCGGGUUCAAAUGAUUCUCAUGCCUUAACCUCCCGAGUAGCUGGGAUUACAGAGAGGUGGAGUCAGAUUUGAGAGGCAGAAGAAAGUUUCAGAGCAAGAUCAGUUGGUUAAAUACGAGGCACCAAGUGACCACGCAUAUCACACUGCUGGUUUCUUUUGGACCUACCAAGCUUACCGUCAGACAGUUCGAGCAGAAAUUCACCGCGAAUUGGAAAUGGUACAUCUGAGAUCAAGCCCAAGCAGGAGCAGAAGGUACAACCUGGCUGUUGGACAACCCAGAAUUGCUGUGUCCUGGUGAAGACUGAAACCACAUCAGUAAGGUGGUGGCAGAAUACGAUUAACAAAGAAACAAAGGUGAUGGGAUGGUGGAGGGCUCAAUGACACUACAGAAGACACUGGAACUGCCAGGAAGAAAACAUAAUCAGCAAACGACCCAGUCUUUGCUUUAAUAUCAUCAGUUGCUACAGAUCAUGAUCAACUGUGAUGCAGGUGUGACUCAUCGUGUUUUCAUGGUGAACCAUGGCUGACUCAGGCAAAGCACUGAUGAAGACAAACACAGGGACAAUUCUAAGAUGUUAUGCAAUCAUUCCUCAUCUUAUAAAAGAAAUUUUUAAAAUAAAUAAUAUUUAGAAAAACCAUCAAAACUUACGUUCAAAUCCCCUUUUAAUAGACUACCUUAUCCACUUAGAUGUAUCAACUUAUGUCUUAAAGUAGAAGAUGAAUUCAUACUGGUUUCUUUGUACUCAGGUCUUCCAUAACAUUGUGGAUAUUUAGGUGUAGAAAUGUUCACCUCAUUCAAGUGCUAUCGUACUUUUAGGUGCUUGCACAGAAAGAUUUUUUUCAGAGACUACAUUAUCUUCUUUUGGGAACAGGAAAAUAUUUUUCUUAGCCUGCUGUCCUCAGGCCAUUGACUAUCUUCCUCUAUCCAGGCUUUCAGGGAUGGCCAGCACCAUUUCUAAUAGGUACACCACUGCCAAAAGUGGCAGUAGAAGAGCCAUAACAGCAAUGCAUUCUCUGAGAUGUUCCCUGCUCCUAGACACAUCUAUGAAUGUCAUCCAGUCCCAUUUUGAUACAGUUGUGCCAAGUUAUAUAACUGUAUUAGUCUGCUUGGGCUUUCUUAACAACAUACCACAGGCUAGGUGUUGUAAACAACAAAAAAUAAUUUUCUUACUGUCUAGGCUCUAGAAAACCAAGAUCAGCAUACCAGCAUUGUUGGAUUCUGGCAAGGGCUAUCUUCCUGGCUGGCAAAUGGCCAUCUUUCUGGAUGUAUCUUCACGUGGCGGAGGGAGAGCAAGCUCUCUGGUAUCUCUUCUUAUAAGGGCUCUAAUUUCACCAUGAGCGUUUCCCCCUUGAACUUCAUGUAACCUUAAUUACUUUCCAAAAGCCAACACCUCCAAAUACUACGACAUGGGAAGUUAGAGCUUCAACACACGGAUUUUAGGGUGGACACAAUUCAGUUGGUAGCAAUUCUAAUUUUCUGCUUAACAAUAAGGUUGUUAAAUAACCUCAUUACAAUCAACUCCUUGCAAAGGAAAAUAAGAUUUUUCGGUUUUUCUCAGGGUUUGUGCAAAUUGUCUAAAGAAAAUCCUGAGCAUUUUAACAUAAAUGUAUGUGUGUCUCCUAGAAGACAGCAAUAACGGAGUUUUUGUGUAGAAGAGGAUAAAUGAAAACAAUUGGCUUGUAAAUGGUAACUUGAAGACCAUUCUGGAAAAUUUUAUCUGGUAAAAAAGAUGAUGGUGGGGACUACUGGGUCAUUUUGACUGGCAAGGAAAGAUAAGAAUUAGUGGCACCCUUUUGCAACAAUUCUCUUUUGAGGCAUAUGGAAUUAAGAAAUCACCUAAAACCUGCUCAGUGCCCAUUAUUAGCAGAAACUCCAGUAGAGACAUAUAACAACCUCUGGCCAUUUCCAACCUAUCUACAGUUACUUUUGCCAAAUCUCCAAACCACCUCUACUUUUAUUUAGUAAGCAUAGUUUCUUAACUAGAAACAUAUGAAAUGAAUACAAGACAAAGCACUGGUUAGAAAACACUGAUUUCUGCAGGUUCUGAAGACUAUAUGUUUAACGGAGGUUUUAAAGACAGCACCCAAUUGUGAGCUUUUUCUUGAGGUACCAUAGGAUUUUUAGAAGAUAAUAUAUUUCUUACUUUGUGAUUCAAUGUUAUUUAAAGUUCCAAUUGCACCACCUGAAAACAUCUUUUACCCUCUGCAUUUAUACUUGUACCCUCUACAUUCUAGUAAACGCUGAUCUACAUUAUCAAAAUAUGUUUAGGACAUAGGACCCACCCCUUUGAAGUUUACAGUGCACUCAUGGAGAAAAGACAGGCACAACCAUAAUUACAGUAUAUAAUACAUCAAUGAAAAGAGAUAAGUAACCCAAGGAAAGUAUACAAUAUUAUAGAAGAGCAAUUUAACGAAAGCAACAAUGGAUUCCUUCUGACUUGGAACUCAAAAAAGACUUAAUGAAAGAUGUGUUGUUUGAUAUAGUAUUUAAUUCUUUAAGGAUUAACAAAUUAUUAUUAUCAAUUGCCAAUGGUUAAAAGGCAGCAUUUUUUUUUCUUUUUUUCUUUUUUAAGAUGGAGUCUCGCUCUGUUGCCCAGGCUAGAGUGCAGUGGCACGAUGUUGGUUCACCACAACCUCUGCCUACCGGGUUCAAGCGAUUCUCCUGCCUCAGCCUCCCAAGUAGCUGGGUCUACAGGCACAUGUCACUAUGCCUAGCUAAUUUUUGUAUUUUUAGUAGAGACAGGGUUUCAGUAGGUUGGCCAGUCUGGUCUUGAACUCCUGACCUCGUAAUCUGCCCGCUUCGGCCUCCCAAAGUGCUGGGAUUACUGGCGUGAGCCACCAUGCCUGGCCACAGAAAGCAUUUUUAGAAGCAGGACGGUAUCUAGCAUGUUCAGAAAAUGGUAUGCACUUCAAUUAAGACAUUAGGUAGUAUAUAGGAGUAGAAUAAGAAAAUGUUAGAGAGGUUGAGGCAGAGUGUAGGAUACAUUGUUCCAAGAUAAGUAAUUUGGCCAUUUGGGGACAGAGAGUAAUCUGAUAAGAACUAUGGAGUCAGAUUAAUUUCACAAUACGGUACAGAAUAAUUGGUGAUGACAGACUUAAGAUGGAAAGACUAUUGUUGUGAUCCAGAAAAGAAACAGUAGAGAUCUGAUUAGACUAGUGACAAUGGAAACACCAGUGGUAACAACAAGAAUAAUAAGAGCCAUAAUUAUUAAGGCCUUCCACAGUGGGCACUGUAUCAAAGCCCCUUUCAUGGACUGCCACAUUAAUAUUGAUAAGAACUCUUUGAGGUAUGUAAUAUUUUCAUCUUCAUUUUAUAAAUGAGAAACAGACCAAAGAUCCCAUACUGAAUUGAAGUUUAGAUACAGGUCACUUAAUUCUAAAGGCUCAGCUUUUAACUAUAAUGCUAUACUAUAUGGAAAUGUACAAAAGUAGCUCAUUUAGAGCUAUUAUAGUGUCAAAGUGAAAUGGCUUGUGACUUAUUUGAUGUAAGAAUUAAGGAAGAGGUCAAGGUUAAUACUAAAGAUGUGAGCAUAGGCAAAUGAACUGAUAUUGAAAAGAGGAAAAUUAGACAAAGGGACAGUACUAAUAGAAUACCCAGGAGGUAACAUAAAAAUAUAAUAACAAUGCUUUGUAAUUUGGAGAAAAAUUAAGGUACCAACUUUAGUGUAUGACUGUUACUGUGCCUGACUUCUGAGAAUAUGAUCCAAUUUUGCCCUAAAGUUACUUCUGUUCUAAGAAUCAAAUAUCUGGAAAUGGAGAAUAGAGUUUUGCUAAUUUUUUUCUAAUACAACUUUAAGUACCUUUAUUUCAAAAGAGAUGCUUUUCUAUUUUAUCUUUUAGGAAGAGGAAUUGUAUUUUUUUAUUUCCUCAUUAGUAAGCUCACUGCUAUUUGUAACAUUCUUUAUGCUUUACAGUAGCAAUUAUACUUUCUAUUCCCCUGCCUAGCUUAAUUAAUGUCUAGUUUGUUAAAGAAAGAAGUAUCUUCAGCUUUACUCUAGGGUAAGGAACAAUGUAGCUACAAACUACUGAUGAUGGAUCAGCCUGGGGACUAAUCAUUAGGUGUAUCCCGGCAGUGUGUAAUAUUAAUUUGUGCUUAUAUUAUUUAAAUGAAAAUCAUGUUUGAUCCUCCAUCUCUCUUUUAGAGUGAAGACCUAAAAUUCCCUCAGAUGCAUCCAAGAAAUCAUCUAGUCAAGAGUAGGGAUGAUAGGUCUAAGUACAAGAGAAGAGUUCAGCUUCAGGCUACUUGGGUACUAGUAAAAGCUAACAUUUUCAGUGUGCCAGGCAACAUUCUAAUUGCAUUGCAUAUAUUUGUGGCUUUAUUCCUUCCAUAUUUUUGAGGCAGAUAUUGUUAUUGUUUGCUAUUAUACACCUGUGGAAAAUCUGAAACACUGAAAUAUAGUUGAACUAGAAGGUUGUAGAGCUGAGUUUCAAAUCAGUCACUAUGAUUACAAAACUCAUGUUCUUACACUGCCUUUUAGAUUUAGUCCUAUUAAAUACCAGCACCUAAGCUUAAUAUACAUAUGAGACUUGUUUACAUGAAAUAGUAAAAAUAGGUUUAGCUAAAUAUCUGUAAAAUUCAGCUUUAAAGAGUAAGAAACUGCUACAGGAGAAAAGUAAAAACUUGAAUUGUUCAUCUGUUCAACACAAUUUAUUGAAUACCUGCUACAUUUAAUCAUCCAAAUAUAUGACCACCCUUUAUAGGAUUUACCAGAUACUUGGUUAAAACCACAACAUUUUGCCAUUUUUGCACAGAAAAAAUGGCCAUUUAAUUACCAUGAAAUAUUUGCCCUGAACAAAAUUUUUAAAUAAAAGUAUUUGUUCUCAUUCUUUUGAUGAGGAGAGUUUGGGUGGCAAUUACGACAAGACAAUUAUUAAGUCACUAAAUUUCAUGGUAUGACCAGCAUAUGCUCUUGAUUUAUAGCUUUGAAAACGAACUGCUGAUAAGCCAAUUGUUUUCCUCCUAGGCCUUUAUGUGUUAGCUUGCCCAAGAGGAAUCACACCUUAGUGAUCAUUGAAUAUCUCCAGGAAUCCAUUAUGCAUUCAAGUGUCUUUCUCCUGAGUGGUAAAGUUCUGCUUGUUGAAACACUGAGAUGAUCUCUGCAUUAGUCAGGGUUCUCUAAAGGGAUAGAACUAAUAGGAUGGAUGAAUAUAUGGAGGAGUUUAUUCGGAGAAUUGACUCACAGGAUCACAAGUUGAAGUCCCACAAUAGGCUGUCUGCAAGCUGGGGAGCCAGGAAGCCAGUCCGAAUCCCAAAACCUCAAAAGUAGGAAAGCCAAUAAUACAGCCUUCAGUCUGUGGCCGAAGGCCCAAGAGCCACUAGCAGAUCACUGGUGUAAGUCCAAGAGUCCAAAAGCUGUAGAACUUGGAGUCUGAUGUUCGAGGGCAGGAAACAUCCAGCAAGGGAGAAAGAUGGAGGACAGAAGACUCAGCCAGUCUGCUCUUUCCAUGCCUGCUUUUAUGCUGGCAGCUGAUUAGAUGAUGCCCACCCAAAUUGAGAGUAGGUUUGCCUCUCCCAGUCCACUGAUUCAAAUGUUAAUUAAUCUCCUUUGGCAACACCCUCACAGACACACUCAGGAGCAAUACUUUGCAUCUUUCAAUCCAAUCAAGCUGACACUCAGUAUUAACCAUCACAACCUCCUUUACCAAUGGAAACACGUAGAAAUAGCAGCUAGUAGAGGCAAGAGAUGGACCCUUACCAUCUCUCAUCCCAGAGGAAGUGUUCCUUAUAUACUUUUAGUUCCAAGGACUGUAUUUCUUUUUUCUCCUGUUAUUUUCUCAGAUAACUUUCAUCUCUCUCAUGUUUUCUUAACUUUGAAUGUCUAAACAUCAAAGAAUUUCUCCUGGGAUAAAAGAAAACAAAGCUAAUGCAAACAAAUACACAUUUUCAAUGGGUCUGAAAAAAUCCUAUCUUGAUGAAAGUUAGACUCUUAUCCUAAAGCCAUUAUCUGCUACUCUGCACCACCCAUCCCAGAUGUAAUAAUCAUACCAAAUAUGUGUUUUAGUGGAUUGAAAAAUAGACAAUGCUCCUAAAAAGGGCAGCAGUCAAUUAUUUAUCUUAAGAAUGACAUUUUGUCCUCUUAAUUAGAAGUACAAAAUGUCACUGUUUGUGGAAUAGCAGCAGUUGAAACAAAAUUCUUCUUCUUGAUCUAGGAUACAAAAAAACAUAGGAAGUCUUUUUCAAAAGGUAUAAAAUAAUUAUUGCAGUGUUCAAACUCUGUAGUUUACUUUACCUAACUCCUUUGACUCAAUCUAUAGCUUUUCCUCUGUUUCAAUAGCAUGCAGUCUGAAAUGAACAAUAUUUUCAUUUCGGCUAUAAGCUACUAUUUGUACUAGAUGAAAUUUCACAUGGCAUAAUAUGUAUGUUUGUAUUUAUAUCAAUUUCACUUCCUGACUGGGAUAGGCAUGAAUUGCUAUGUGUUAUUAAAUAGAUGCCAGAUUUUACCCUUGACUUGAUGUGUUUCAGUAAUGGAUGAAAGCUUGGGAAGUUGGGGAAGUCUUUGGCAAUUGUUAAAGAUGAGCAGAAUUGUAUUAGUGAACAUAUUACAAUUUCACAAAAGAUAGCUACUAGUUCGUUUUUAGAAGUCUCAUAAAUAGCAUAGAUGAUAUAGCUAUGCUCCGGAAUUUUCCAGAUAUAUCAUUCUACAAACGAUACUUCCAAUAUGCAUUUUUUGUUUUCAGGAAUGAAGGAAAAUUUCAAUCUCAUUCAAACUGUAAUUCAAUGCUAUCAAAUAGUCAUUUCUAAUCCUUUUUUAAAGAAUCUCCAGAGGCCCUUUCGUCUUCCCAAGAGUACUGUUAGGAAAUGUAGAAGAGAAUCUGAAAAGGAAAGAAAAUUAACUUAAGUCAGUUAAUUUUACAGUAAAUAUUUUUUACAAGAAAUCAGGUAAACAGAUGAUUGUGGGAAUUCCAAAAAUUUUGGUAAAAAUGUCAAAGUCUAACUUACCCAGUUGUAGAAUAAAUGUUCUUUUCAUCUUCCUACUAAUUGUUUUUUAUUUGUUAUUUACUACAAUGCUAAUACUAAUGAAUUUAUAUGAAAAUGAAGUGUAUAUUAUCAACAACGAAACAUGAAGUCAAGAGUUAUGCUUGUGUCUUAGCUCAGGCUGCUAUAAAAAAUUACUAUAGACUGGAUGGCUUGAACAACACCAUACAUUUAUUUAUUAUUGUUCUAGAGGCUGGAAGUCUGAGAUUAGGGUACCAGCAUGGUCUAAUUCUUAGUAAAGGGCCUUUCUUUGCCUGGUUUGUAGAUAUCUUCUUAUUGUAACCUCACAUGUCAGAAAACAGAGAGAGAGAGAGUGCAAGCUCUCUUCUUUCUCUUCUUAUAAAGGUACAAAUCCUGCUCAUGAGGACUUCACUCUCAUGACUUUAUUAUCUCCCAAAGGCUGCACUUCCUAAUACCAUCACAUUGGGGGUUAGGAUUUCAACAUAUGAAUUUUGAGGAUGUAUAAACAUUCAGUCCAUAAGAGUUAGCAAAAGGAAUUAAUCAUAAGAGACUGGAUUGUGUCCUCACAAAAUUCUCAUGUUGAAGUUCUAAUUCCAGCCACCUCAGAAUGAGACUGUAUUUGGAGACAGGGCCUUUAAAGAGGUAAUCAAGUUAAAAUGAUGUCAUUAAGGUUAGCCUUAAUGCCAUCUGACUGAUAUCUGUACAGGAAGGGGAGAUUAGGACACAAGCACUCAUACAGACAGAGGAGAGACCAUGUGAGGACACAUCUAGAAGGCAGCCAUGUGUAUGCCAAAGAGAGAGCCCUCAGAAGAAACCAAACUGUUAACAUCCUAAUCUUGGAUCUCUAUCCUCCAGAACUGGAAGACUAUACAUUUCUGUUGUUUAAGCUACCCAGCAUGUGACAUUUUGUUAUGGCAGCCCUAGAAAAUGGAUAUAGCCAUCAAUUAGCCUCAUAUUUUCCCAAUCUGGGAACAAUUUCAAAAUAGCUAUAUUUUAAUUUCAUAGUGAACCUGUUAUUUCAUUACACUACAACCAAUUAAUCCACUAGCUGGUUAGUAGUCUGACUAACUGCUCGAUGAUAAAGACAUUUUAUGUAGUCCCUCAUCAAAGUUCAACAAAAAAUGUCGUUGCACUGGAAUGAUUAUGAACAUGCAUCCUUGUCAGUAAAACGUCAUUUAACCCAAAACACAUAAUGAGAAUUUAAAUUGACUUUUCAUAAAUACAAAUGAUUCAUUAUUAUACAUAGAAAAUUAUCCUGUGAAGUAAAGCAACAAUUGCAAACAUCCUAGUACUAUCAUUGUGAGCAUACAGCUAAAGAUAAACAACAUUCAGUGAACAUACUUGCUCUUUUUUUCCUUUUGUUAAUAAGUAUGUUCUUUGUUCCAAACCUUGUUUGCUCAGAUUAUUCAUAUAAGAAGAGAAGUUAUUUAUUGGAGGAAAAAAAAACUGUUUUGCUACUGUUUGGAAGGCAGAUGGAAAUGUUGGGAGUAUCAAUGCCAGCAAAUCUCACAUGUGUUACAUCAACGAACUUGAAAAGUAGUGGAUAUUCUAACGGCUCAAACCACAUAAUCUUGGAAGAAUCAGGCUGAGUUAGAUUGGACUAGAGGAAGAAGCAGUGUCAUCAAUACCAGAAAAAAAAAAAAAAAAAGAUUCACCAAUAACAACAUCAGCGUUUUGAGUAAUUGAAGAAGUAAAAUGUGGAAAUCAGCAUCAAGCAGCUUAAGUCAGGAACGAUGACAGCACACUGCCAAGUUCAGCUGGAAUGAGGAGAUUCAUCAGCCACCCUGGAGCAGUAACUCCUGUUAGCAACUCCACCAAGCCUCCACAGUUGAUAAAUUCCAACCAAGAAAGACUGAAAAAUGUAAUUAAUGAACACAAACUAUUAUAUAUAGCCAUACACAUAUUAAUAUAUAUUUUCUAUAAAAGCAUAUAUAUAAUAUGUACACACACAUACAUGUCACACACACACACACACACACACAUAUAUAUACACAAAGAGAGAGAGAGAAAGGUAUAUAUAUUUAUGGACAAAAUUUCUAUAUACAAUUAAUCCUCAUUAUUUGUGGGUUCUGUAUUUGUGAAUUUGCCUACUUCUUAAAAUUUAUUCGUAAUCUCGCAAGUCAGCAGCAUGUUCAUGGUCAUUUGCAGACAUGUGCAGCGUGGUAAAAAAAAAAUUGAGUGUCCUGAUGCACAUGUUCCUAGUUGAGGUCAAACAAGGCCACACUCUGCCUUCUUGUAUCAGCUCUUAUAGCAUAAACAAGUGUCCCUUUCACAGUCUAUUUAAUGCCGUAUUUUGCUACUUCUGUGCUUUUUCUUGGUGAUUUUGCUGUUUAAAAUUAUCUCCAAGUGUGCUGCUGAAGUGCUUUGUAGUGUUCGGCAGCACACGAAGCCUGUACUGUGCUUUAUGGAGAUAAGCGUCAUUGAGGCAUGAGUUACAGUGCUGUUAGCCUGAGUUCAAUGUCAAUGAAUCAACAACAUAUACUAAACAAGGUGUCUUUAAACAGAAACACACACAAAAUAAAGUUAUGUAUUGAUCAGUUGAUGAAAAUAUUGCUAACAGAGGCUUGCAGAAAGAUAACCCUGUAAUUCUCCUGGGAGAAAUGGUUCCCUAUUCACUAAUUCAGUGUUCAUAGUGACUUUAUAGAACAUAAUAGGAACUGACUGUGUGUCUUCUCACACAUACUCCCCACACAAUAUUACACAUACAGGAAUCAGACACCAGACACCACGAAGAUGAUUUACAAAAAUAGAUCAUGUAUUUGACUAUAAAGUCAAUCUCAAUAAAUUGCAAAAAGUUAAUAUCUUAUCAACUAUGGUUUCCAACUCUAAUGCAAUAAGUGUAAAAAUUAAAAAUAAAAUAGGAGUUGUAAAGUAGCAUAUAUUUGGAAAUAAUAUGAUUACAUAUUUGAUACUGUGUUUAUAUUACUAUUUGGAUAUAUAGUAUAUCAUGAAGGAAAUAAAUAUUUGUAAUUAAAUGAUAAAAAGGGUUAUGUGCCAAAAUUUAUGAAAUGCAACCAAAAAAAGAAUGCAGAUUUAAAAUUAUAGCCUUAAAUACAUUUAUUUUAAAAUUAUAUUUAAAAUAGUGUUUAAUCACUAUACAAAAAAAUUUUAAACUAAGGACAAAAGUAUGGUCUGAAUAAAAGGAGAGAGAUCUCGUUUCCUUAAACAGGACAACUAAUGUCAAUUCUCCUUAAUUAAUGUAUAAAUUCGACGCAAUCCCACUCAUUUCCAGCUGGAUGUUUUGAUAAAUAUACUUACAAUUUAUAUAAAAAAUAAAAGACCACAGAUGCCUCUAAGACAAAUACAUAAAAAAAAUAAUGAGGGGAGAAUUUUUCAACUAGGUAUGAAGAUAAACUAUUAGGUCAUAGUAAUAAAAGUCAUACAUUAGCACAAGAAAAGACAAAUGGAUCAAUGGAUCAGAAAAGUACUCAGAGAUAAAUGAAAGUAUACCUGGAAAUUUAAUAUAUUAUUUAAUUCAAAAUGGAAAAGAUGAUUUGUUCUUGAAUAGUGUAAGGGAAGUGGCUCAUUUUGUGGAGCAAAAUAAAACUGGCUUGCAAGAUUGCAUACAAAUUUGGACCCCCGGAUUUAAAAUCUAUCAAGUUAAUAGAAAACAUAAAGAAAAAUGAGCUCGCAUUUAUCAAUGACAGUUUCUUUUUUCUUACUAGAUCUGUAACUUUUGUAAAUACACAUAGCAUGUAAUGGUAUCUUAAAGUGUGUUUCUAUGUGACAAUUUUGUACAAAUUUGUUAUUUUCCAUUUUUAUUUCAAAAUAUACAUUCAAACUUAAAAUUAAAAAAAAAAGAAAAAAGAAAAAUGUUGUCACUGAAAUUGGUAAAGAAGAAAAUUUUAAACAAAAUUUUAAAAACACAAAUCAUCAUACAAAAUAAUUAUGAAUGGACAAAAAAAGACAUACGAUACACUGAUGGAAUAUACUUGCAAUGUGGAAAAACUAUAGUAUUCAAAAAAUUUUAAGAAAUCCUACAAGCCAACAAAAAGAGAUAGGAACUCCAAUGUAUACAUAUAUCAGAACAUCAAAUUGUACACCUUAAAUAAAUACAAUUUUUAUUUAUCAAUUAUACCUCAAUGAUACUGAGGAAAAAAUAAAAAUGAUAUGAAUAAGCAUUAUACAGAAGGGGAAACUUAAAAAGGACACUAACAACAUAGAAAUAUACUCACAUUCAUUAGCCAUUAGAACAUGAAAAUUAAAACAAUGGUGUAAUAUCAACAUGCUAUCUCUUUAACCUGACAAAAAUUACAAACCUGAAAAACACCAAAUGUUGGUGAGGAUAUACAGGUACAGAGGCUUUCAUGCAUGAGAAUCUUGUCUGUUGCCAUACUAAGGAGUAGUCUGGCAUUGUUUAGUCACGUUUAGUAUAUUUACACCUCAUGGUCCAGCAAUCCCAAAAUUCUAACACAGGGUUAAGGAAGUUUAUUCCAGUAUAAUUUGCUGUUUCAGAACAUUGCAGGCACUUAGCAUAUCCAUCACUGGGAGAGCAGAGAGGUAAAUUUGCAUAAAUACACAUUCCCACAGUUCUAUGCAGUGGUUAGAAGCAAUGGGCUGAAUAUGCACCUAGACACAGAGAUCUUAAACAAAAAAAAAAAUAGUACUGAGUAAGAAAAAGAAAAGGGAAAAAGAAAGGAGAUACACAGACAAUACCGUUCAGAAAAAUUAAAAAUGCAUGGAGACAAAACAUGGAUGCACUAACAUGGACCAAUGAUGAUAAAGUGCUAUGAACUAGAGGAUAUAAUUCAUUCAUUCUUAUCCAACAAAUUUACAUACAAUUAAGUAACUUUAAACAUUAUAUUAGAAACUAUAACAUCAUCAUAGGCCUCUAUCUCCUAAAGAUAUGGCAUUUUAGUGGUACACAGUGGUCUUUAUAAAAAGAAUAUCUGGUCAGAGAAAACCACUCAGUAUGUUUUCCACGUAUCCAUUCAGACUCUAAUAGAAGUAUUUAGUCUAGAUUUGGGGUCACAGCUUCACACAGAACAUUGAUGAAAGAAGAGCAUACCUUGUGCAGAUCUUGGUGGAUGAGAGAACUGCAGACUACCUAAUUUAAAGACCAAGGGAGUAAAUGGAACCAUUUUACCUGAAAGCAUAGACAGUAUAUGUAUAUCUCUUCAAUUAAUUUAUGAGCUAUCAUGUAGAAGAGAAAUAGGAAUUGCAUGUUGCAUCCAGGGGUAAAAAAAAAACGGGGACCCUAUAGAUGAGUAAAUUUGGGGUAAGAACAAAAGAAAUUUUUAACAACGAGAAGAGUCCAAAAUGGGCAUUGUUACAGAAGGAGUUCUCUGCCUAGCAUUUUGCAAGCAGAAGGUAGACAUCAUAUGUGAAGAAUGCACAAAGAUUCCUGCCUUAGAAUAGAGUGUAAAGGGAGUGGCCUGUAAUGCCUCUCUACUAUUUAAAAUUUUAUCAAUUUAAACAUUUUAAAAGGUAAAGAAAAAUUAAAUAUUAAGUACUUUUCUUUCUUUUCCACAAGUUUUGAUCAAGCAAUGACUUGUGUCUAAAUAAGCUACUGAGUCAAAAAAGGAAAACAAAAAACAAUCCAAGAAUAAUUCAAGGAUGCUCUUUCUUUCUGGACUAUCUGUAAUGCCAGUGUGUCUCCCUUACUCAGUAGUAUCUAUUGAAGUUAGUAAGGAUAUCUAGGAUGGCUCCAGGUAUUUACUCAUACGUCAAUCAAUUUUAAUACCUAUGAUUAGAGCUCUCCACAGUUAUGAUCAUGUACCACAGGCAUCUGUUUUUCUACAUCAGGUUGGAACAAACAACCCCAGGGUGUGAAAUAUUCAGAGGUGGAAACUCUUCAUAUUAAUAUUAUGAUUCGAAUUUCUAUAAUGAAAGUGACCAAUGGCCUUGUAAGACGAGCUCCCUCAGAAACUAUAUUAUUGCUAGCAUUCGUAGCAUUUGAACUGUUCUGACGGUAUAUUAGAGCACAAUGCCUGAAAGAUUAAUUUAUUCCUUUUUCUUCUUGUUAAGUCCUACUGUUUUGUUUUCCCUGCCCCGAUCAAAUUCAACCUGUACCCUAAGGUAUUAAGGCAUUCUUGAACAAGCCUUGAAUGCCAAAAUAUGUAAAACUUGAUUUUCUAAAUAAAAUGAGUUAUGAUGAACUUUAUGUCACAAUACCCUGCAUUCUUUAAAAUGUAUGCUAACCAUUCUUAUUUAGUACAAAUGUAAUGAUUUAGUUGAAAAUAUAACUCAAGAUUAGAGACACUAUUUUCUUCAUUUACUGGUCAAAAACACUAAUGCUUGGUUCUUUUUUACUCCUGGUUGAACAUCUUACAUAACAGCACUUCUCAUUUUACUAAACUUAAUGAAAGGAUCAGAAACCAAUCUGUUAAGGAUUAUGAGAAGAAAAUAAUGGCAUCACUAAAACAAGAUUCAUGAUAUUAGAUGCCUAAGCUGAAUAUGCACUGCUGAAUUCAGAAUUGUCCUAGGGGAAAAGCAACAGAACAAUUGGUUGAUGGUCAGGGGUCAGCAAACGAUAGACCUCAGGCCAAAUCCAACCUUAUAAUAAAUAAAUAUUCUUGGAACACAGCUGUGCUCAUUCAUUUACAUAUUGUCUAUGGCUGCUUUGGUGCUACAACUUCGUUGAAUAGUUGAGCCUGAGACCACAUGGCUUGCAAAGCCUAAAAUAUUUAAUAUCUUGCCCUUGCGGAAAAACUUUGUCAAUCCCUGCCCUGGGUCCUCUGAAGACCUGUGAAGAAGACUGUCAGACUCUUAGUAAAUCCCAAGUAAUAAACACAAAUCAAUUGAGGUGAAUCAAAAGUACCACAAAACUAGGUAAAAAGGAAAGAUACCACAGCAGGACAGGGAAAUCAUCUAUAAGAAAAGUAUUAGUGAGAGUUGUAUUCAUUCAUUCAUCCGAUGUGUAUGAUUAAGGGCCUACUGUUUUUUGGUCACUCUGCCAGGCCCUGGAGACACAAAUGAGAACAAAGAAAAUAUAAUUUCUAUCCUCGUAGAGCUGGAUAUGGAAUUCACAUAUUAAACAAACUCUGAAAUAAAUAUGAAACUACAAAUUCUUGUGAGUGCUAUCACUUACCACAGGGUGCUGUGAGAAAUAAAAGCUAACAAGUUUAAGGUGGACAUCUGCUAGUAUUUUUUUUUCCCUGAAUUCAUUUCUCCAUUUGGGUAAUGGUAACAGUAACCCUCUUCCUUUGGAAAACAUCUAUUCCACUCUAAACUUAGAUUUCUGGAAAGGCUUGCAAAUCCACACUUUCCAACUCACGGAGUUGGAAAGAUUAUGCCAGCUAGGUGAGUUGGGGUAGCCCAAGCUCCCAGUUAUAGCAAUUGGUGCAGGAAGAGUCCAUGACCCAAGUCUACCCAAUCACAGGCCUUUUUCAGCAUGCGUUUAUAGUGAAGAAGAGAAGUUAUCUUUUUUGUUUCCUCUUCGGUCAUGAUUCAAUGAAGAUUUCAGCCCCCAGCUGCCAGGGACCUUAUUCUCUUUCAUGUGAUCAUGGAGAGAGACAUGGACAGACAGAAAGAGAGAGACACAGAGAGUGGCCUCAUGGGAUUUGAGGUCCUGGAUACAACUGACCGUGGAGCCGAAGACAAACCACAUGUGAUCAGAAGAAAGAUGGAUUUCUCAUGUAAGAUCUCAGGGUAAAUUGCCCCAGGCAUUCAUAAAAAGAGAAUAAUUGUUCUUGCGAUAGUUUACUGAGAAUGAUGGUUUCCAAUUUCAUCCAUGUCCCUACAAAGGAUAUGAACUCAUCAUUUUUUAUGGCUGCAUAGUAUUCCAUGGUGUAUAUGUGCCACAUUUUCUUAAUCCAGUCUAUCAUUGUUGGACAUUUGGGUUGGUUCCAAGUCUUUGCUAUUGUGAAUAAUGCCGCAAUAAACAUACGUGUGCAUGUGUCUUUAUAGCAGCAUGAUUUAUAGUCACUUGGGUAUAUACCCAGUAAUGGGAUGGCUGGGUCAAAUGGUAUUUCUAAAAACCAAACACCGCAUAUUCUCACUCAUAGGUGGGAAUUGAACAAUGAGAUCACAUGGACACAGGAAGGGGAAUAUCACACUCUGGGGACUGUGGUGGGGAGGGGGGAGGGGGGAGGGAUAGCAUUGGGAGAUAUACCUAAUGCUAGAUGACGAGUUAGUGGGUGCAGCGCACCAGCAUGGCACAUGUAUACAUAUGUAACUAACCUGCACAAUGUGCACAUGUACCCUAAAACUUAAAGU